ACGCGGAGUCGAACGAAGAACGAAGCGAACUCGUGUCACCGCUUUCGAUCAUCUCUUAAGGCGCGACUAUAGUUCCUCUUUCCCCGGCUUAAUCGGGACACGAAGCGUGUGCCGCCGUGGAAGAAGGCUUCAUUACCCCUCCCCUCCCCCCACCCCACGCCCCCCGCGUUCCGGUCUUCCUCCUACCAAGACACAACCAAAACAAGCAGCGAUCUCCAGAGUGCCGCGGCGUCGAUGGCGACGCGGUACCCCCGGAUGCCCCCUGUCGGGAGGUCCUCCCGGUACGCGCUGAUCCUGCGGCGCUCGUCACGGUGUCGGUGGUCCUAUUCAUGCUACUCGCUCGCGGAGUCUUCUCUCUUCCCGUGGAUUCGAACGGCCCUACCAAGUCCGACCACCUCCUCCGUCGGUCUAUCUACGAGGCCAAGGACGGGAUGGGGGGGGGAAAGGCGAUCAGUGGGCGGAGGUGCUCUCGUGGGAACCCAAUGCGUUCAAAUAUCACAAUUUCCUGUCCAGGAAAGAAUGUGAAUACCGAUGGCAAAGCCUCACAUGAAGAAGCCAACAGUUGUUGACAGUACUACUGGUCAGAGGAAAGACAGCAGGUUCAGGCAUGUUUUCUUAGAAGAGGACAAGAUAAAUCAUCCGACCAAUUGAAAAAAUAAUUGCAGAUUACACCUUCAUACCUGCAGUAUGGCACUGAUACCAGUCGCAUGCCAGAUCGGUAUGGCACCAGUACAUACAAUGUAUCGAGGCUUUGUAUGGAUAUGGAUCACUACCGAUUGAUAGGGAGGGAGGGAUGAGAGAGAGAGAGAGAGUGGAUGGGGAUGGGCAGCAACACCGCGAGAGAAGGAGAAGCCGCAACAACAAAAGAAGAGAAGAAGACAAAAAGAAAGGUUAUAACGGAGGCUGGCACUGAGUGAUAGGCUUACUGCUCUGUUUAGCUCAGUAUCAACCAAAGAUGGGUGAUGUAUUACACUUCUGGAACAUGAGGCCUGACGCCACUCUAGAUUCAUCUACUUUGCAUGGUGGAUGUCCUGUUAUUAGAGGAAAUAAGUGGCCUUCUACAAAAUGGAUAUGCAUGAGCUUAAUUAUAAAACUAAAGAAGGUACUUUGCUUCUUCAACCUACUAAGACCUUGAGAAAUUUUAGAGGAGCUUCCUGAAAGUUAAUGAGAAAUAUAACCUUCUUUUGCUGUGUCAGAAAGAAAGGAUGAGCUUAUUGCAAGUGCCGCAUAGUUCAUACAAUGUUCAAUGUUCCUCAGUUUUAGUGCUUCAACCCCAACAUAAGACUUCUAAAAAGUGUUCCCUAUUUUUCUAUCCUUUUUUAUGUUACACGUUGAAAUGAUUUCAAUUUUCCAUUUAUUGACAUCCAGUUCCUUCACGUUUGUCUUCUGCAGGGGUGGGUGUUUCAUGCGGCUGCUGCAUGAGAAGAAUUUUACAUUAGUUUCUCCUCAUGGAUGCCAUUUUGAGUUCUGUAAACUCUCCUUGGAUCACAUAGAGUCUUAGUUAAGGUGUGUUCUCAUCGAGAAUAGGAAUGGUUUAUUUAGCUGAGGUGGUAUUUAUACUUUUGCAGUCAGUUAUACUGCUCAAGAUGCCAUUCUAAAGUUGUUCUUUGUAUUGUACUGAAUUGAACACACAUCAAACAGUAAGCAACUGCUAUGGCAGUAAAAGAGCAGAAGGCAAAUUAGAUGCCUUAGUUUUGUUUUUUGUGCAA